UCAAAGGACAAUCUUUGGGAAUCCAUUGUCUCCUUCCACUCGGUUAAGGCUGGAUCUUUCUUGUUUCUGCUACUGAGCUGAUUGCCUUAGUCAGUGUUCUAUUGUAGUGGGUAGCCAUUCCAUCUUUGGUCUGGAAGUUCCAACCCCCAUUGAGGCUUUGGUAACUAUCACGCCCAGGGAGGACCCUGAAGACCUGAGAUCCGGACUGCCACGCACUCUCUCUUGCGGCUGUGAGCCCGGACACUAGAGGUGAAUGGAGGAGAGUUCUCCAGAGAACAUCGCCGGACUACUGCUGCAUCUUUCCCAGAACCCUCAACCUACCUAUCCCUUCAUUUGGGCUUUACUGGCCACAUCCCAGGGACCAGCAGAGGCUCAGGAACUAGGGAUAAACACCAAGGCCACUGCAGUCUCUGCCUGCAAGGAGCUUAACAUUAAAGUGGGACUGAGAGGUGAGACUGUAAACAAACGCAUGAAAGAAAAGCAUGAAGACACCAAAGGAACUCACUGCUGUGACAGAGAACAAGAAAUCGGGUGUGCGGCUCCUGAAGAUCAGGUGACGCUUAGAAACGCCUGGAGCAUCUUUCCUUUAAAUGAUGAUGGACAGAUCACUUUAGGGUGUCUGGCUUCUGGAAACUGCUCAGCUGGUCUUUGAAGACAGUCUCCAAAGGGUAAUUUCAAGGGCUUUAAACAAGCUUCUCCACAUUGCAAGAAGGAAAUCUACACAUGGAGCCCCUUCCUGGGGUGCCCACUUCUGGGUCUGGGUGCCCUCUCUUCCAGUUGGCUCCUUGUUCCCUGUUUUUUUCAGGCUUUGCCUUCUGAGAUUCCCAGGUGGAGAAACAAUCCUUGUGAGCUGCAGAUCUGGGACGGCUUUGAGGCGGAGAAGUGUCAGAGCAGAGGGAGGGUGGGAGAUGGAGGCUCAGGGUCUGGCCAGCAGAAGAGCAGAGGCAGCUGAAGCAGUGACAUCGGAGUGAUACAGGACCAUAGAGGUGACUGUCACCUUAAUUGUAAAUGUUUGCCAUGCUGUGAUGUAACAGGGCCCCCUGCUAUGUCUGAAUGUGAUGCCUCGCCCCCUCCCAGGUUCAUGGGUCAGAAACAAAUGUCAGUUAGGUCACCAGGCAUCCCCUCCAGCAUAGAUUAAUUAAUGACAUCAUUAUGGGAUGGACUUCUGAUAAGGUCCCACCCUCUCUACUCCACCGGUGCCCUCUCCUCCUCAGCCUCACCUAACUCUUCUUCUCUUGCCCUGUGGUGAUUUCCACCCCGGGGUAGCACAGCACCAAAGCUCUUGCCCGACGUCAGUGCGCGUGCUCCUGAACUUCUCAGCCCCAGAACUGUAAACCAAAUGUACACUUUUGUUCUUUAGAAAUUGCCCAGCCCAUGGCCUUCUGUCACACCAGCAGAAGGAGGAGGACACGUACUGCCUUCAACCCCCAGUGGAUUCUGCAGCCCGUAUCUCUGCUGUCUUCAAGGGAGAGAGUUAAGGGACAAGAAUGUGGAAGGGCGUGCUUUAGGUGACCAGGGUCUAGAGGUACAGGAAGUGAGACCUGGAGCAUGGGAGCGCACCAUCACAACCUGGCUUUUUUUAUUUGUUUAAUAGGAUGAUUCUAGAAGGCUGGAGGAUGUUAGGGCCGGAGGCAGAGCUGACUUCUGACACAUGGCAGCCCUACCUCAGCUACUUUCAUCCUGUUUUAGGGUGAGGAAAUUCAUGCUUCAGAGGUGCUAGGUGAUCCAUCCGAGGUCACACAACUGGGAAGUGCGAGUACCCAGAUUUGAACACGAGUACCUCUGGCUCCCAGGCAAGAACUUUCCUCACCCUUCUAUGCUUUGCUAAUCCUGAAAAUUGAGAGAAAAAGACCAGUUCCACAAUUUUUGAGCCAAAUUUGAAGUGAGAUUUAAUUGAAUGCUGGCCAGGACGAUGGACUCUGGCCAGGUCCAUUCCAGGGUUCCCAGAAAAUGGCAAAGAGUCACAUUUUGCAGAGGCUUAAGAAGGCAACCCCAUAAGGCCACCAUUUUUCUCAUUAGGUCCAUUUGGGGUAAGCAUACAUCCCGACGUACUUCCUGCCUAGGUCCCAGAUGUGAUUAAGCACAUCUGGUGCAGUUGGGGCAAACAAACUUGUUUAGGGGAGUGACAACAUGAACAAUAGCCUCCAGCAUUUCAGGAAGUAUCUGUCCUUGGGCAAGGGACUUACAUGUUAUAGGCAUUUUUGUUUGUUUUUGGUUUGUUUGUUUGUUUGUUUCAUGGACCUCUUAGGCACAGUAAUUAAAACUUAAAACAUAAUAAUUUGGACUCUCAUAGCUUCCUUCCUUGUAGCAUGUAUAGGGAUCUGUAGCAUCUUCAAAUCUAACAGCAAUUAUCAGGAGGAAGGCCUGAGCAGCAGGCAAGACCGCCACCCAAAACCACACCAUUGGAAGGCACACAAAGAUCUCCUGAACUUGAUCUGGGGAGGGAAAUUGUGGCAUACGGCAGGGAAGGCCAUGGAGGCCCAGAGAGGACACUUUAUGAAGCUGUGAAGGUGAAGUCUGGAUUUUGUGGGAGAACCUGAGAUGUUGGAGAUGCCAGAGCCAUGGGAUACCUGCCAAGGAGAGCUGUAUCUAGGAGUGGAAUCAGUCCAAGAGAAAGAAUUGUGUUGAAGUCAACAAAGCUAGAAGGACUGGGAGACAUGAAGAGCCAUCUACGCCUGUAGAGGGAAGUUUCUCAGUCCACCUAGCCCUGCGGUCUGGACGAAUCUUUCCCACCCAAGCUCUCACAGCCACUUAUAAAAUAAUCACUCAGAGGCUUUUAUUAAUUGCAAGCUGUAUGGCCUAAUGGCUAAGGCUUCUUACUUGCUAGCUCUUACAACAUAACUCAGCCCAUUUCUAUUCAUCUAUAUGUUGCCACGUAGCUGUAUUGUUACCGGUCUAUUGGCAUCUUGUUGCUCCUUUGGCGGCAGCUGGUGUCUCUCUUGACUCUGUCCUUCUCUCUGUGUCUCUGCCUGGACUUUCCCACCUGGCUGGAAGUUUCUUGCCAUUGGCCAACAGGAGCCACACAUAUUCACAGCAUACAGAAAGUCAUCCCACAGCAGACGCCCUUUGAAAUUGGACAUAAUACUACUUGAUUUGGUGUUUGCCCUGCUGGGUUUUGGUCUUGCUUUGGUUCAUUUGGUCUUUGCCCUGCUGGGUUUUGGUCUUGCUUUGGUUCGGUAUUUUGUCACUAUACCUCAUUUCUUCCCCUUUAGAGUAGCAAUGUGUGUUCAGUGCCGUUGUAUGUUGGAAGUAUGCAAUUUGCGUUUUGAAUUUGAUUUUACAGAAGGUUACAAUUAAGAGAUUGCUUUGAGUCUUAGGAGAGAAUUGAACUUUUAAACAGUAUUGAGACUGGGAAAAACUAUGGGGACUUUUGGAUCUGGGCUGAAUGCACUUUGCAUUAUGAUAUGGUUGCACGUCUAUAAGGGCCAGGGAGUGGAAUGGGGUGGGUGGAAUAAAAAUGGCUUCCACAGGCUCAUGUUUGAAUGCUUGGUCUCUAGUUGAUGAAACUGUUUUGGGAAGGAUUAGGAAGUGUGGCCUUGUUAGAGGAGGCUUUGAAGUUUCAAAAGCCCAUGCCCAGGCCCAAUCUUUCUCUCUCUGUCCCUCUUUCUCUCUGCUUUCUGCCUGUGGAUCAGAUAUGAGCUCUCAGCUAAUACUCCUGCACCAUAUCUGUCAGUCUGCUACCAUAUUUCCCAUCAUGAUGGUCAUGAACUCAUCCUCUGAAACUGUAAGCAAGUCUCUCAUUAAAUGAUUUCUUCUAUAAGUUUCUUGGCCAUGAUGUUUUCUUCAUAGCAAUAGGAAAGUAAUUAAGAAAAUUUCAGAGAUACAUGGGUUUCAGGCUUCUCUUUCUAAAUGUAUUUAUAUCUUCCAGGACUAGCUCAGGUAGAUGUGGGGCUUGGAACCAUAUCCAAAAAAUACCUAAAUAGUGUGAUCUUUACUGCAUAUCCCAGGACACUGAAAUUUGGUUAUCAGGAGCUAUAUAUAACUUUAAAAAUAUUCCAAGACAAGUAUCUUGUUCUACAUGUUCUAAUGUCCAAGGUGAACUAAUGUUCUGAUGUUAAAAAUUCUUUAUGUCCUUUCUCACUUUCUGUUCCUCAGCUCUCCUUCCCAUGGUCCCCUUCACACAUACUGAGGCCAGAUAGUGAGUGCUUCCCACUGGAAUGUUGACUGACCUUGUUGGCUUGACCUGGUCUAGGUUUUGUACAGAUGACCACAGACACAGUGAUUUGAUUUGUGCAACAACCUUGACAUGCCCAGAAGACAUUUCACAGAACCCUUCCUCAUGCUCCAGCCUUUACAUUCUUUCUUCUUCCUUUUCCCUGGAGUUCCCUGAGACUCAUGUGGUGUGUGUGUGUGUGUGUGUGUGUGUGUGUGUGUGUGUGUGUGUGUGUGUGGUGUGUAGUUGAUAGCUGUCUGUCCCAUUUAGGGCUGAGCACGCAACAGGCAUACUUUUUCUCAGCACUUUGACCGGUUAUGAACCUCUGUAUUAACCCUUACUCACUGCAGAAAGAAGCUUUUCUGGCCAGGGUGGAGUCACCAUAAUCUGUGGCUAUAAAUAUAAAUAUUUAGAAGGCAGUUUGGCAACAUGUCCAUUUAUCAGAACAACAGUAGUAGGUUCCUUCCCAGGGCCUAUGACCUCCAGAGCCAUGGGCUUCUGGCCAGGUUUAUAGUACUGGCAUGAAUUCCCUUCUGUACAGCAAGCCUCAGAUUGGUCACACAGUGGCUGGUUACCUCUAUAACCUUCAAGCCACCAUUGUACCAGUGGGCACUUAGGUAUUACAGCGUUCAGUAUCUCCCACUGGGUGAGACCACCGAUGCCUCUUUUAUUCCUUCAGCAGGCUGGGUAGCACCUUCCAGCACUAUGAAAACAAGCUAUCAUAGAGGAACUUUACAGGUUAAUUUCAGCUUGAUGUCUCGGUCCUGUAAGCGGAGGGCCUCGCAUAUACCAAGGACCUUACAUAUAACAUUAAUUCUUCCUGAAAUCUGAGCUGGAAGGGAACUUUUCAGAUGCCUCCGGUGCUUUAAGAUAGCCCUGGGAGGAUGUAGCAAGGCUAGGUAGUGCUGCAGCCCCGACCCCUGUUCAACCUGAACAGCUCUAUCUGUCCUCUCUGUUGAGCUCAGAGCUCUUCUCACAAAAAGAAGGGGAAGGUACAUGCUGUCAAGUGGAGUUUAAAAGCCACCCGCCUACUCAAAAUCAGCUUUAAAGAGUGACUUAUCUUUUCUAGCAUCCUCAUCUUAUAAAGAAGGAAGGUGACAGGAGCAAAGGUCCGAAGACUUGAUCAAGCUGUAGCCGACAGCUGAGUUCCCCGUCACCCUCCCUCCCUGUUCCCGCCACAGCGUUGGCAGACGCGGCAACUGAUGUGCGGCCUGCACAGGUUAUGAAAGAGGGGAUUUUCUGAGGCAUUCCUUCUUUGUAAGACAGGAAUUCUCUGGGCUAGCAAACCAUCUAGGAGUCUCAUGGAAGGAAUGCCAUGGGGCUCUACACCCCAGCCAUAGAGAAAAAAAAAAUAGUACAAUAUAAUUGAAAACCACGGAGGCCUGUGACUUCAGGGUUGGCUUGAUCAGUGGUCUCAGUCUGUCACCUCUACUGCCGCCCAUGGGCCACCGUAACAGUCUAGAUCCCACAGGAUUGUUACUGUGGGAAAGAGAAUCCUGAAAGCGUCCUGACCGUUGCUUUGAUUGGGGCCUCUCCGAGCCAGGGGCUGCAGCAAGCUGAUUUGUUUCCAAGCACAGCUGCCGUGGGUCCUUGCUGCCUGCCCGGUGCCCUCUUUAUCCUGUUUGUGCUCACUCAGUUUUAGAAGGUUCUUUAGUUGUGUCAGACGAGCUAGUCUUCGAGUUCCUUUUUUCUUCUACCUCCUUUUCUGCCCAAGUAGUGCCCUGUCUAGGGUCCCAUGCUACGCCUCUUCAGCGGCGCUAUCUGUGACAUUGUCUAACCCUAAAGGCUGGGUGGGAUUGGUCAAGAGUUGCAGGACUCACUCUCAGAUAGGUCUGUUCCUUUUUUUUUUUUUUUUUUUUUUCUG